AGAGUUUGAUCCUGGCUCAGGACGAACGCUGGCGGCGCGCUUAACACAUGCAAGUCGAGCGAGAACCGGGACUUCGGUCCCGGGGACAGCGGCGAACGGGUGAGUAACACGUGGGUAAUCAACCCUCGGCACCGGGAUAGCCCGAGGAAACUCGGAUUAAUACCGGAUAGCCCCUCCGACUCUCGAGUCGGUCGGGAAAGGUAGCUUAGGCCUCUGGCCGGGGACGAGCCCGCGGCGGAUUAGCUUGUUGGUGGGGUAAUGGCCUACCAAGGCAACGAUCCGUAGCUGGUCUGAGAGGACGAUCAGCCACACUGGGACUGAGACACGGCCCAGACUCUUACGGGAGGCAGCAGUGGGGAAUCUUGCGCAAUGGGCGAAAGCCUGACGCAGCGACGCCGCGUGAGGGAAGAAGGCCUUCAGGUUGUAAACCUCUUUCACGAGGGACGAAGCUACUCGGGUGAAUAGCCCAGAGGGCGACGGUACCUCCAGAAGAAGCCCCGGCUAACUACGUGCCAGGAGCCGCGAUAAUACGUAGGGGGCAAGCGUUGUGCGGAUUUACUGGGCGUAAAGAGCGUGUAGGCGGCCAGACAGGUCUGUAGUGAAGACUGACGGCCUAGCAUCAGACGUCGACAGAGACGUUUGGCUAGAGUCCGGAGUAGGAGAGUGCAGUUCCUGGUGUAGCGGUGAAAUGCUCCGAUGUACGGAAGAACACGAUUGGCGAAAAGCAGCUCUCUGGUACGGUACUGACCCUGAGUCGCUAAUGCGUGGGAUCGACUGGAUGNAUACCUGCAUUAUCGUGAUUUCGGCGCCUG
rnacentral:rRNA from 1 species